rnacentral:rRNA from 1 species
AGAGUUUGAUCAUGGCUCAGGACGAACGCUGGCGGCGCGCCUAACACAUGCAAGUCGAACGAGAAUCAGCUGAUGAAGUUUUCGAAUGGAUUCGGUUGAGGAAAGUGGCGAACGGGCGAGUAACGCGUGAGCAACCUACCUUGUACUGGGGGAUAACGUCGGGAAACCGGCGCUAAUACCGCAUAACAUUACGAUAGCGCAUGUUAUUGUAAUCAAAGCUUUAGUGGUACGAGACGGGCUCGCGUCCAAUUAGCUAGUUGGUGAGGUAAAGGCUCACCAAGGCGACGAUUGGUAGCCGAACUGAGAGGUUGAUCGGCCGCAUUGGGACUGAGACACGGCCCAGACUCCUACGGGAGGCAGCAGUGGGGAAUAUUGCGCAAUGGGGGAAACCCUGACGCAGCGACGCCGCGUGAAGGAAGAAGGCCUUCGGGUUGUAAACUUCUUUGAUCGGGGACGAAAAUGACGGUACCCGAGGAACAAGCCACGGCUAACUACGUGCCAGCAGCCGCGGUAAUACGUAGGUGGCAAGCGUUGUCCGGAAUUACUGGGCGUAAAGGGCGUGUAGGCGGGGGGACAAGUCAGAUGUGAAAUACCGCGGCUUAACUGCGGGGGUGCAUCUGAAACUGUUCUUCUUGAGUGUCGGAGAGGAAAGUGGAAUUCCCAGUGUAGCGGUGAAAUGCGUAGAGAUUGGGAGGAACACCAGUGGCGAAGGCGGCUUUCUGGACGAUAACUGACGCUGAGGCGCGAAAGCGUGGGGAGCAAACAGGAUUAGAUACCCUGGUAGUCCACGCUGUAAACGAUGGAUACUAGGUGUAGGAG